GAGUUUGAUCGUGGCUCAGAGCGAACGCUGGCGGCAGGCUUAACACAUGCAAGUCGAACGGAAAGGCCCUUCGGGGUGCUCGAGUGGCGAACGGGUGAGUAACACGUGGGUGAUCUGCCCUGCACUUUGGGAUAAGCCUGGGAAACUGGGUCUAAUACCGAAUACACCUCAUGGGCUGCAUGGUUUGUGGGGGAAAGCUUUUGCGGUGUGGGAUGGGCCCGCGGCCUAUCAGCUUGUUGGUGGGGUGAUGGCCUACCAAGGCGACGACGGGUAGCCGGCCUGAGAGGGUGACCGGCCACACUGGGACUGAGAUACAGCCCAGACUCCUACGGGAGGCAGCAGUGGGGAAUAUUGCACAAUGGGCGCAAGCCUGAUGCAGCGACGCCGCGUGAGGGAUGACGGCC
rnacentral:rRNA from 1 species